UGGUAUUCUUAAAAAAUAUGUAACACAUUUUAUACAAAGAAGAUACUCAAAACCAGGUAUCAUUUAUCUUUUAGGUGAAUGAAAAAGAGACCAAGUGAAAAAACUAAGUGAUUUAAUGACCUGAAUGUAUCCCAUAGAGUGGAAAAUAAAAUACAGGAUCCCAAACUUUGACCUUCUAUGUCAUCAUCAUCUUUGAAAUAUACAGGAAAAGGCGGGCUGUUUUGGCUUCCUACCAUGGAGGAGGACCUUGAAGGAGAAAAUUGGCAGACCUUCUCCAGUCCCUGGGGCUUCAGCAGGGCGGCUGAGGAUGAAGGAGAACAUAUUUGCCAGUGAGUAAUGGUCUUCAAGGAAAAACUAUCAGGGGUCUUAUUGUUGCUUUCUGAGAUGAGCUUGUGCUUUU
rnacentral:lncRNA from 1 species